UACGUAGGGUGCGAGCGUUGCCCGGAUUUAUUGGGCGUAAAGGGCGCGUAGGCGGCCCGCGCAAGCGUGCGGUGAAAGCCCGGGGCUCAACCCCGGGUCGGCCGUGCGGACUGCGGGGCUCGAGCACUGUAGGGGCAGAUGGAAUUCCGGGUGUAGCGGUGGAAUGCGUAGAGAUCCGGAAGAACACCGGUGGCGAAGGCGGUCUGCUGGGCAGUAGCUGACGCUGAGGCGCGACAGCGUGGGGAGCAAACAGG
rnacentral:rRNA from 1 species